CACGUAGGGUGCGAGCGUUGUCCGGAAUUAUUGGGCGUAAAGAGCUCGUAGGCGGUGUGUCGCGUCGGCCGUGAAAACCUGCAGCUUAACUGCGGGCUUGCGGUCGAUACGGGCAUCACUGGAGUUCGGCAGGGGAGACUGGAAUUCCUGGUGUAGCGGUGAAAUGCGCAGAUAUCAGGAGGAACACCGGUGGCGAAGGCGGGUCUCUGGGCAGUAACUGACGCUGAGGAGCGAAAGCGUGGGGAGCGAACAGG
rnacentral:rRNA from 1 species